rfam:Cavia porcellus supercont2_8 genomic scaffold, whole genome shotgun sequence.
UGGUAUUUAGCUCAGCGGCAUAAGUGCCUGCCUUGCAAGCAGGUGGUCAUGAGUUCGAUCCCUGAUACCAA